rnacentral:rRNA from 1 species
UACGGAAGGCAGCAGUGGGGAAUAUUGCACAAUGGGCGCAAGCCUGAUGCAGCCAUGCCGCGUGUAUGAAGAAGGCCUUCGGGUUGUAAAGUACUUUCAGUCGUGAGGAAGGUGUUAAGGUUAAUAACCUUAGCAAUUGACGUUAGCGACAGAAGAAGCACCGGCUAACUCCGUGCCAGCAGCCGCGGUAAUACGGAGGGUGCGAGCGUUAAUCGGAAUUACUGGGCGUAAAGGGCACGCAGGCGGUUAAUUAAGUUGGAUGUGAAAUCCCCGGGCUUAAACCUGGGAAUGGCAUUCAAGACUGGUUAGCUAGAGUCUUGUAGAGGGGGUAGAAUUCCAUGUGUAGCGGUGAAAUGCGUAGAGAUGUGGAGGAAUACCGGUGGCGAAGGCGGCCCCUGGGACAAAGACUGACGCUCAUGUGCGAAAGCGUGGGGAGCAAACAGGAUUAGAUACC